GAUGAAGAACGCAGCAAAAUGCGAUAAGUAAUGUGAAUUGCAGAAUUCAGUGAAUCAUCAAAUCUUUGAACGCACAUUGCGCCCGCCAGUAUUCUGGCGGGCAUGCCUGUUCGAGCGUCAUUUCAACCCUCAAGCACAGCUUGGUGUUGGGACUCGCGUUAAUUCGCGUUCCUCAAAUUGAUUGGCGGUCACGUCGAGCUUCCAUAGCGUAGUAGUAAAACCCUCGUUACUGGUAAUCGUCGCGGCCACGCCGUUAAACCCCAACUUCUGAAUGUUGACCUCGGAUCAGGUAGGAAUACCCGCUGAACUUAAGCAUAUCAAUAAGCGGAGGA
rnacentral:misc_RNA from 1 species